UUGAAAGACGAGCUGGCUUCUGAGCCCCAGAACAGAAAGCAGGGAGGGUGCAGUUCCCAGAGGCCUCCGAGUGCCCGCCCAGCCCAUGGGUGUGCAGCUGGUGGCUCCCUGAGAACAUUAACCACCCUGCAAAUGCCCAGGAAGGCAGAGGCUAAAAAUAUAUGUAGUGCCCAGGUCCAGGAAUGCAGGCCCCGCCGUUCAUUGCUUGGUGUCCUGCCCAAAGUGGAGGGCACUUGGGAGAGGUCUGAGAAGGCAAGCAGUUGUGCCAGGCUUAAGUCGACCUGGAUAUUCACUGGCAUGGCUUGUUUUCCAGGCUGGGGCACGUGUAUCCAAUUCCUCCACUAUAAGCAGCGCUGUACUGUGCACGGGUCUGAACAGCCCACCCACCUGGUUAUCACCAGGCUUUAGACCAGGGAGCCCAAGGAUCUAGAGGAACGAGCUGGGGCUUCUGGGAAACCCUGGGCCAGUUGGACUACCUGCCUCAGUUUCUCCUUUUGCCUGCCCAUCUCAGUGGUGUACUUGAGGACCCCAGAAGAUCAUGCCUGUGAGGGUAACCAGGGUCUACUCUGGACGAACAUGUAGGAACAGAGGGCAUGUGCAGAGGGCACUGGGAGGGCCAUAGGGGCAGCUGGAGAGGUUUGUGCUGCAGCCACAAGCCACUCAUUACAUGCUCGCUCUGCGUAUGUAGGAGCUUGCUGCGGUCCCCAGUGACAGGUGGGAAGACACGGAGGCAGGACCCUGCUCUACGUUGCGUCAUCCAUCUAGCUGGGGUGGCACAGGCCAGCAUCCUGCAGCAGCCGAGUUUCCCCGCGUGAUGAACCCUGUGUGACGGGAAGUUCCUUGGAAAAUGAAAGAGGAGCGUGUUCAACUCCAGCACCCAGCGGGCAGCCUCGGCCCCACUUCCAGGUGCAGCUGGAGGGACAGCGGGGCGAAGCUGAUGAGAACCUGGGCAGACCCAGACACCAGCUUUCAAAAUGUCAGAUUCUGAUAGGGCCAGCCCUGGCACUGCCACCUCAGAAUGCAGGAUAAAAUGCUGAGAGAUCCUGGUGGAACAGAAGACAGCCGUCAGCAGGAGGCCAGUAGCUUUUCUCUCCCGGUGACUGUGAGGGGCUCCUGGGCUUUAGGGGCUCAGGAAUGGCUGGAGUGGGGCAGCAUUCGCCAGCCCUGUGUUCUACUUGGAUAGAAAGUAAACGAUGAAAGGCCUCUUCUAAGUCAA